GAUCUACGAUUACUAGCGACUCCGACUUCAUGGGGUCGAGUUGCAGACCCCAAUCCGAACUGAGGCCGGCUUUGAACGGAUUAGCUCCACCUUACGGUCUCGCAACCUGUUGUACCGACCAUUGUAGCAUGUGUGAAGCCCUGGACAUAAGGGGCAUGAUGAUUUGACGUCAUCCCCACCUUCCUCCGAGUUGACCCCGGCAGUCUCUCAUGAGUCCCCACCAUUACGUGCUGGCAACAUAAGACAAGGGUUGCGCUCGUUACGGGACUUAACCCAACAUCUCACGACACGAGCUGACGACAACCAUGCACCACCUGUACACCAGCCACAAGGGAAGGACCAUCUCUGGCCCGGUCCGGUGUAUGUCAAGCCCAGGUAAGGGUCUUCGCGUUGCAUCGAAUUAAUCCACAUGCUCCGCCGCUUGUGCGGGCCCCCGUCAAUUCCUUUGAGUUUUAGCCUUGCGGCCGUACUCCCCAGGCGGGGCGCUUAAUGCGUUAGCUACGGCACAGAAGACGUGGAAGUCCCCUACACCUAACGCCCACCGUUUACGGGAUGGACUACCA
rnacentral:rRNA from 1 species